rnacentral:sRNA from 1 species
UGAAUGGUAUGCACGUUCCUUUUGGUUG